GCAGCAGCAUCUCCCUCUCAUCAGCACUGUUGAAAGAAGAAAAAAUGUCAGUGCUAUCUCCUGAAAUCAAAUGUGAGACUUCUAAAUUCACCAGAAGUUCCUUUGGCAGUUGUUUGAUUUUUGAGAGUAGUUGGAAGAAAGCAGUUUUAGAAACACAAAAGAUUAAGAAAAAUAUACCACAGCAUUUGGUCUAGAAGAGCUCAAGGAAUGUAUCAAAAUGCCAUAUUUACCAGGACUGCAAAGUUGCCAAAAAAGUGUAAGUUCAACUCCACUAGAGGUUCCUAAAAGACUGCCACGUGCUGAUGCCGAGGUGUCUGCAGUCAGCUAAAGAAGACUAAGGAGACAUGCAGUGUGGCACCACUUUGGGAGAAAUCAAAAGUUCUGGCUUCAGUGAUCCUCUCACUGGAGCACCAUCUCAAUACUUAGAGAGACUUUCCAAAAUAGCCAUAUUGGAAUAUGAUACCAUUCGUCAGGAAACAACCACAAAAUCAAAAAAAAGCAAGAAACGAGACCUCCGAGACCGCUGAAAAAUGUCGUACAGUGUGAUGCUUUCUUCAGU
rnacentral:lncRNA from 1 species